rnacentral:rRNA from 1 species
GACGAACCGUGCGAACGUUGUUCGGAAUCACUGGGCUUAAAGGGCGCGUAGGCGGGCCUCCAAGUCUGGGGUGAAAUCUUUCGGCUUAACCGGAAAAGUGCCUCGGAUACUGGGGGCCUCGAGGGAGGCAGGGGCGGAUGGAACUUCCGGUGGAGCGGUGAAAUGCGUUGAUAUCGGAAGGAACGCCGGUGGCGAAAGCGAUCCGCUGGACCUCUUCUGACGCUGAGGCGCGAAAGCCAGGGGAGCAAACGGG